CCUACGGGUGGCAGCAGUGAGGAAUAUUGGUCAAUGGGCGGGAGCCUGAACCAGCCAAGUCGCGUGAGGGAAGACGGUCCUAUGGGUUGUAAACCUCUUUAGGCGGGGAGCAAAGCCGGGCACGUGUGCCCGGAGGGAGAGUACCCGCAGAAUAAGCAUCGGCUAACUCCGUGCCAGCAGCCGCGGUAUUACGAAGGAUGCGAGCGUUAUCCGGAUUUAUUGGGUUUAAAGGGUGCGUAGGCGGAUUUUUAAGUCAGCGGUAAAAUGUGCGGGCUCAACCCGGGGUGGCCGUUGAAACUGGGGGUCUUGAGUGAGCGAGAGGUAUGCGGAAUGCGUGGUGUAGCGGUGAAAUGCAUAGAUAUCACGCAGAACUCCGAUUGCGAAGGCAGCAUACCGGCGCCCAACUGACGCUGAGGCACGAAAGCGUGGGGAUCGAACAGGAUUAGAUACCCUUGUAGUC
rnacentral:rRNA from 1 species